ensembl:lncRNA
CCUACAGCUCCAUCAGGGUGCUCAGAGCCCAGCCCAGCCUGACCUUGCGUGUCUCCAGGGAUGGGGCAUCCACGACCUCUCUUGGCAAGCUGUCCCAGGGCCUCACCUCUCUUAUCAUAAUAACCUUCCUCCUUACAUCCGAUCGAAAUCUCCCAUCUUUUAGUUUCCUUUGUCCUUUCACAACAAGUAUUUGAGGUGGUGCUGUUUCAAAGCACGAACUGCUUCCUGUGCAGGGAAGAAUGAACUCCGUCUAAAAGACACGGCAGAGUUUGUGAGGGCUGGAACAAGUCUGUGCCACUGUCAGUUGGGGGGGAAGAAGGGGAACCACCCGUCCAUCACCUGACUGCAAAAAAUGUACUACAAUUGUUCCUGCAUGAGAAUCAGAUAUUGCCCGCAAACUUGGAUGGCAUGUAAAACAGAUAUUAACAAGUGAUAAGAUUGUCCCUUCUAGUGCUACAAAUCCAGUCCUGGGCGACUUUUGCAUUCUGGUUUCACAGGAAAGCAUCCGGGCAGGUUUUGAGUAUCUACAGAGAAGGAGACUCCACAACUUCUCUGGGCAGCCUGUUCCAGUCCUCUGUCACCCUCAAAGUAAGAAGUUCUUUCUCGUGUUCAGAUUGAACGUCUUGUGUUCCAGUUUGUGCCUAUACCCCUCGUCCUGUCACUGUGCACCACCAGAAAGAGUCUGGCCACAUACACUUGACACCCACCCUUUAAUUUAAAAGUAUUGAUAGGACUCCCUCUCAGUCUCUACCAGGCUGAGCAGUCCCAGCCUUUCUUCAUAUGGGAGAUGCU